CAGAAUUUAGAGAACCUGUAUCUUCAGCUUUGAGAACUGAAUUCCAUGGGUUGUUUUUGUAUCACACCUAUGAAACUCAGUUCUUCAGCUGGGAUAUCUCUGCCAUCACAGACAAAGG
rnacentral:pre_miRNA from 12 species